UUCUACAUUGUAAAGAACUGGAUUGGCACUAAAUAAAAUAAUUUCAUAUUUUACUCAGCUUAUAAUAUGACUCAAUGGAGGAAAAUUUGAUAAGCAUGAGGGAAGACUAUUCUUUUCAUGUUUGUUACAGAAUGGAAGCUUCUUGCCUAGAACUGGCCUUGGAAGGGGAACGUCUGUGUAAAUCAGGAGAUUGCAGUGCUGGUGUGUCCUUUUUUGAAGCUUUAGUUCAAGUUGGAACUGAAGACCUAAAAACACUCAGUGCUAUUUACAGCCAGCUGGGCAAUGCUUAUUUCUAUUUGCAUGAUUAUGCCAAAGCAUUAGAAUAUCAUCAUCAUGAUUUAACUCUUGCAAGGACUAUUGGAGACCAGCUGGGGGAAACCAAAGCUAGUAGUAAUCUGGGAAACACUGUAAAAGUUCUUGGGAAUUUUGAUGAAGCUGUAGUUUGUUGUCAGCAACACCUAGAUAUUUCUAGAGAGCUUAAUGACGAGGUGGAAGAAGCAAGAGCACUUUACGAUCUUGGAAAUGCGUAUCACGCCAAAGGGAAAAGUUUUGGCUGCCCUGGUCCUCAGGACAUAGGAGAAUUUCCAGAAGAAGUGAGAAAUGCCCUUCAGGCAGCUGUGGAUUAUUAUGAGGAAAACCUAUCACUAAUGACUGCUUUGGGUGAUCGAGCAGCCCAAGGACGUGCCUUUGGAAAUCUUGGAAAUACACAUUACCUCCUUGGCAACUUCAGGGAUGCGAUUAUAGCUCAUGAGCAGCGUCUCCGUAUUGCAAAAGAAUCUGGACAUAAAGCAGCUGAAAGAAGAGCAUACAGCAACCUUGGAAAUGCAUAUAUAUUUCUUGGUGAAUUUGAAACUGCCUCUGAAUACUACAAAAAGACUACUAUUGGCUUGACAGCUUAAAGACAGAGCUGUUGAAGCACAGUCUUGUUAUAGUCUUGGAAACACAUAUACUUUGCUUCAGGACUACGAAAAGGCCAUUGAUUAUCAUCUGAAGCACUUGGCAAUUGAUCAAGAGCUAAAUGAUAGAAUUGGUGAAGGAAGAGCACAUUGGAGCUUAGGAAAUGCAUACACCGCUCUAGGGAAUCAUGACCAAGCAAUGCAUUUUGCUGAGAAGCACUUGGAAAUUUCAAGAGAGGCUGGGAAUAGAAGUGGUGAACUAACAACACGACUAAAUCUCUCAGGUCUUCAAAUUGUUCUUGGUCUGAGCUACAGCACAAAUAAUUCAAUAAUAUCUGAAAAUAUUGAAAUUGGUAACAGUUUGCAUGGUGCAUGCCUCAAGUUCGGACGCCGACAUAGUAUGGAAAACAUGGAACUUAUGAAGUUAACACCAGAAAAGGUACAGAACUAGAACAGUGAAAUUCUUGCUAAACAAAAGCCUCUUAUUGCCAAACCUUCUGCGAAGCUGCUCUUUGUCAACAGAUUGAAGGGGAAAAAAUGCAAAACUAAUUCCUCCACUAAAAUUCUCCAAGAUGCCAGUAAUUCCAUUGAUCACCGAAUUCCAAAUUCUCAGAGAAAUGUCAGUACAAAUACUAUUGGAGAUGAAGGGUUCUUUGACCUGGUAAGCCGAUUUCAGAGCAAUCGGAUGGAUGAUCAGAGGUGCUGCUUACAAGAACAGAGCUGUGGGCCAGCUUCAACUGCAGCUUCUUCCACUCCCCCUAGAGUGAUGCUAAAAAUAUCAUCUGUUUCCAUGGUAUCCCCCAACACGGAUGAGUUUUUAGACCUUGCCAGCUCACAGAGCCGCCGUCUUGAUGACCAGAGGGCCAGUUUCAGUAAUUUGCCAGGGCUUCAUCUGACACAAAAUAACAAUAAGUCUGCCCUUGGCCACCUGAUGACUAAUGACAACAAAGAGCCUGAUGAAGACUUCUUUGGUAUCCUUGUAAAAUGUCAAGGGUCCAGAUUAGAUGACCAAAGAUGUGCUCCACCACCUGCUGCCACAAAGGGACCAACAGUACCAGAUGAGGACUUUUUUAACUUGAUUUUACAUUCUCAGGCAGAAAGAAUGGAUGAACAGAGAGUUCUUUUACAAAGAGAUCAAAAUAGAGACACUGAAUUUGAACUGAAGGACCUUUUGCAAAGUAAUGCUUUGUUGGAAUUUAAAAAUACAGGAAAAAAAUAAGCAAACCACUAGUUAUUAUGGAUAUAUUUUUUAAAAACGACCUUAUUUCCUUUCAGAACACUGCAGGGAAAUUCAAUCUAUUUUUCCUUAA